rnacentral:rRNA from 1 species
UAACAAGGAUUCCCCUAGUAACUGCGAGUGAAGCGGGAAAAGCCCAAAUUUAAAAUCUGGCAGUCUCUGGCUGUCCGAGUUGUAAUCUGGAGAAGUGUUGCCCGCGUUGAACCGUGUACAAGUCCCUUGGAAGAGGGCAUCUCAGAGGGUGAAAAUCCCGUCUAUGACACGGACUCUCAAUGCUUUGUGGUGCACUCUCGAUGAGUCGAGUUGUUUGGGAAUGCAGCUCUAAAUGGGUGGUAAACUCCAUCUAAGGCUAAAUAUAGGCGAGAGACCGAUAGCGAACAAGUACCGUGAGGGAAAGAUGAAAAGAACUUUGGAAAGAGAGUUAAACAGUACGUGAAAUUGCUGAAAGGGAAACGCUUGAAGUCAGUCGCGUUGUCCGGGAUUCAGCCUCGCCUCGGCGUGGUUUACUUCCCGGUUAACGGGUCAGCAUCGAUUUUGGCCGCCGGAAAAGGGCGGAGGGAAUGUGGCACCUUCCGGUGUGUUAUAGCCCUCUGUCAGAUUACGGUGGCUGGGAUCGAGGAUCGCAGUGCAACCCUUCGGGGUGGCGGGUUCGCCCAGUUAAUGCACUUAGGAUGCUGGCAU